AUGGCCCAUGACCUCCUAUCCCUCCAUCUUCUCCUCCUCAGUCACCCACUACAUCCCAUCCCUCCUUCUUGUAUUCCUCCAUUGCCAGCAACCUCCCAUCCUUACAUCCUCUCCUCUUCCAUCACCCACCACAUUCCAUCCCUCUUUCCUGUACUCCUCUAUCACCCACCACCUUCUGUCCCUCCUUCCUCUGCUUGUCCAUGGCCCACCCCCUCCCAUACCACUGUCUUCUCUUCCUCCUUUGUCCACCACAUCCCAUCCCUUCUUCUUGUGCUCCUCCAUCACUCACCACGUCCUAUCUCUCCUUCCUCUGCUCCUCCAUCACCCACAAGGUCCCAUUCCUCCAUCCUCUCCUUCUCCAAUGCUCACCACAUCCCAUCCCUCCUUUCUGUGCUCCUUCAUCACCCACCAUGUCACAUCCCUCCAUCCUGUGUUCCUCAAUCACCCACCUUUCCAUUGCUCCAUCCUCUUCUUCUCCAUCACCCGUCUCAUCCCUCCUUCCUUUGCUCCAUCACUCAUCAUGUCCCAUCCCUCUCUGUCCUGCUCCUGCAUUGCACACUACAUCCAUCUCUCCCUCCUGUGCUCCUCCAUCACCCACCACAUCUCUCCCUCCCGUGCUCCUCCAUCACCCACCACAUCCCACCUCUCCCUUCUGUGCUCCUCCAUCACCCACCACAUCCCACCUCUCCCUCCUGUGCUCCUCCAUUGCCCCCACAUCCCUCCCUCCUGUGCUCCUCAAUCACCCUCCACAUCCCAUCUCUCCCGCAUGUGCUCCUCCAUCGCCCACCACAUCCAUCCCUUCCUCCUGUGUUCCUGCACUGUGUCCCAUCCCUCCUUAUCCUUGUCCAUCUCUCACCAUCCCCUCAUCUCUUCUGUUCCUCCUCCAUCCCCCGUCCCAUCCCUUCCAUCCUCAUCCUGCUUCACCUUCAACUUUCUUUUCCUUCUCCUAUUCCUCCAGCUGUCAACAUCUCACUAUCCCUUCUCAUCUUCUAUCAGCUCCCACCAUCCCCUCAUCCCUCCUCAUCUUCCUCUACAUCUUACCGUCUUCCUAUCUUUUCUCAUCCUUCAUCAACWCCCAUCAACACCCCAUCCCUCUGUAACCUCUGCCACUUCUCAUUUUCUCCCCAUUUUUUUCAUCAUCUUCUAUCUCCUAUCUCAUCCCCUUCAUCCUUCUCCACUUCCCUCCAUCUCAAAAUCCAUCCUCACUUCCCAUCAUUGCUCUGUCCCUCCAGCUGCCAACAUCUUCUAAUCUUUCCUCACCUUCGCCCCCCUUCCACCAUUUACCAUCCCUCCAUGUCCUCCUUCACUUCCCAUYUCCCACCCAUCUUCAUCUUUUUCCAUCUACCAUCUCCUCAUCCCUCCUCUUCUUUCUCCAUUUCUGCAUACCUUCUUGUCCUCCUUCACCUGCCAUCAUCUGCUCAACUCUUCUAUCAUCCUCUUCCAUCYACCAUCAUUUCACCAAACUUCCUCAUCCUCCUCCACCUCCCACCGUUCCCCAUCCUUCCCCGUGCCCCAACACYUCCCGCUAUUGGCCUGUUCCUCAUCGUCAUCCACUUCCUACCAUCUGCCCAUUCCUCCUCAUUCACCUCCAGCCUUGCACUGUCUCUCUUUUCCUCCUCAUCCUCCUGCACUUUCCACCAUCUCCCGUCCCUCCUUGUCCUCCUCCAUCUCUCACCAUCUCCUCAUCCCUUCUUUUCUUCCUCCAUCUCAGUCUCCCUACUCCUCCUUGUCUUCUGUCACCUUCCAUCAUCUCCCCAUCCCUCCUGUCAUUCCCCUUCACUUGCCAUCAUUUCCCCAACAUUCCUCCACCUUUUCCACCUCCCAUCAUUCCCCAUCCCUCCUCAUACCCCAUCACCUUUGGCCAUUUCCCUUUCCCUCUUCAUCUUCAGCCUCCCACAACCUACCCAGUCCUCCUCAGUGUUCUCUACCUCCCACCAUCUCCCUAUUCCUCCUCAAAAUCCUCCACCUCUUCCCAUCUCCCCAUCCCUCCUUAUCCUCCAAGUAUCCCACCUACCUCACAGAUUUCCCCCUCACCCCUUUUCAUCUCCUGUCUUCCUGAUCUCCAGCUAUCCUGCCUCACCUCACAUCUCCCUCUCUCAUCUUCCUUUCAUUCUCCUUCACCUCCCAACUCUAUUCCUCACCUCCCAUCUCCCAGCCUGCCCUCCUGACAUCCUUCCUGUCCUCCAUCCUCCCUGUACUCUUACUCCCAGCAUGUCUGACUCCUGCUGUUAUUAUCUCCUUCUCCCCUUGCUUUGUAUCCCAUCUCUUACCAACCCAGUAAAGCCACUUUCAGCCCAACAACAACAACAGCCUCUUGCAAGCAGAAAAGUCCCAGUCUGUUGGAGAUGGGACUGUGAGGGCUAG
ensembl:lncRNA